rnacentral:lncRNA from 1 species
AAAAAUUUGUGCAACAAUGCCUGAACCUUGAUCCAUCAUUGCUCAGGUUCAUUCGACUCUUCACCCCGCUGGGUGUGGAGGAGGAGGGAUUGCAGUUGUAUGUUGGGUACUUGAAGAAAGUGAUUGCAAUGAGGUCAAGAAUGGAGUUUGAGCAAUUGGUGGAGACAAUGGAUCAGCGUAAUGUCAAUUUUGUUGGUUGUUUGACCAAUUUGUUCAAGGACAUUGUGUUGGCGAUUGAGGAGAACAGUGAGAUCUUGAGUGGUCUUUGUGGGGAGGAUGGUAUUGUAUAUGCCAUCUGUGAGCUUCAGGAGGAGUGUGAUUCUCGCGGUUCUGUGAUUUUGAACAAGUAUAUGGAGUAUAGGAAGUUGGCUAAGUUGUCCUCUGAGAUAAAUGCUCACAACACUAAUUUGCUUGCUGUUGGAGGAGGUACUGAGGGUCCUGACCCACGAGAGGUUGAGUUAUAUUUGGAGGAGAUUCUCUCCCUUAUGCAGCUUGGUGAAGAUUACACUGAAUUCAUGAUUUCAAAGAUCAAAGGGCUUACUUCUGUUGACCCUGAGUUGCUUCCCCGUGCCACCAGAGCUUUUCGGAGUGGCAGUUUCAGCAAGGUUGCACAAGAUUUAACUGGAUUUUAUGUGAUUUUGGAGGGAUUUUUCAUGUUGGAAAACGUCAGGAAAGCAAUAAGGAUUGAUGAACACGUGCCUGACAGCCUUACCACUUCUAUGGUGGAUGAUGUAUUUUAUGUAUUGCAGAGUUGCCUGCGGAGGGCAAUAUCCACUUCCAAUAUCAGUUCUGUUGUUGCCGUUUUGAGUGGUGCCAGCAGCUUACUCGGUAAUGAAUAUAAUGAAGCCUUGCAGCAAAAAAUAAGAGAGCCAAACCUUGGUGCAAAGUUGUUCUUUGGUGGCGUUGGUGUGCAAAAGACAGGGACAGAAAUUGCAACAGCUUUGAAUAAUAUGGAUGUUAGCAGUGAGUAUGUUCUGAAGCUAAAACAUGAAAUUGAAGAACAGUGUGCUGAGGUGAGUGUUGUAUAUUUUUGGUACCUUACAAUUGUAUAUCACUAAUGAGAUUCAUUAAAUUUUGAAUUAUGAGCAGUAAGUAUAGUUGGCACACCCUUGCCUUAUUCAUUGUUUGCCUGGGGUCCCAUUAUGAGGUAAUUUUAGGUUCCUAGGUUAGGGAUUAUUCAUAAAAUGUUUUUGUGCAGUUUAUGUCAUUUAAUUUGUACAGGAUUUAGUUCUGAAUUUCUGUAACAUGAUUUAGAGUUUUAUGUGAUAUGUACAAAUCUUGGAUAAAAUUAUAGACUGUAUAGGAUAAACCAAUUUCAAGAUUGACAUUUUUGCAACUUCAAAACCACAGAUUGAGGAUGCUUCUGUCCUUAGUGUUGAUGUUGAUGAAUACACAGUUUAAUUUGUAGUAAUCCUCUCUGUAACAUGAAUAUUGAGACAAUUGAUUAAAAGAAUGCACUUGAAGCAUGAUUUAGAAAAUCAGAAAUUGUAGCAUUGAUUUUGCCUGAUGAACUAUGUACAUCGGUUUCCCCUGAAUGUUGUGAUGAAUACAUGUUCAAAUUUAUAGCAACCCUUCUGUUAACAUUAAUACGGAGAUUGUUGAUUAGAAAAGUGCAAUCAAAGUAUGGUUUAGAAAUUCAAAAAUUUUUGUAUUGAUGAUUUCACUUUAUGAACUAUUUUCCAUUUUAAACUAGAUGUUUCUUCAGACAUUCGAGUUUGCUAAUUGAAUAUUUCAUAUUUGUCUUUAGCUUUGUCAACUGCUCCUCCUUCAUUUUUAAAUGAAAAGAAUGUAGCUGGAACAGACUUACAGACUAUUUAUUUUCGAGAACUGUUUCUCAAUUUAUACAGCGCUAUGUCAAUUUGUCCUUUGUUGCUUUGCCCAUAUAAUAUACAAGUUUAAAGUUGCAGAAUUAACGGACUGAAUAACUUCAUGAAGGUGUUUCCUGCACUAGCUGAUCGAGAAAGGGUAAAAUCUUGUUUGACUGAGUUGGCAGAUAGCAGCAAUGCUUUCAAGCAAGCUUUGACUGCUGGCAUAGAACAACUUGUGUCAACCAUUACACCUCGAUUAAGACCAAUAUUAGACAGCGUUGGAACAAUUAGCUAUGAGCUUUCGGAGGCUGAGUAUGCAAAUAAUGAGGUGAAUGAUCCAUGGGUUCAGAGACUUCUCCAUGCUGUUGAGACGAAUGUGGCAUGGCUGCAGCCACUAAUGACAGCUAACAAUUAUGACACGUUUGUUCAUUUGAUUAUUGACUUCAUUGUGAAAAGGCUAGAAGUUAUUAUGAUGCAAAAAAGAUUUAGUCAACUUGGCGGUCUUCAACUUGACCGAGAUGCUAGAGCUUUGGUAAGUCACUUCAGUGUCAUGACACAGAGAACUGUCAGAGACAAGUUUGCACGUCUUACUCAAAUGGCAACAAUUCUAAAUUUAGAAAAGGUUUCUGAGAUUCUAGAUUUCUGGGGUGAGAACUCUGGACCUAUGACCUGGAGAUUAACUCCAGCAGAAGUUAGGCGUGUAUUGGGUCUGCGGAUUGAUUUUAAACCAGAAGCAAUAGCUGCUGUGAAGUUGUAAUAUCGGUUUAUAUGGUCUCUUCACAUUCUUUUCUUUCUUUCUACUUUAAUUUUUCAUCUGAUAAGUAUUACAGAUUCAUUCUUACUACUUUUGGUGUUUGGUAAGUUAACUUACAGUUUCAUUAUACGACUCACAUUGUUAGCUUCAAAGGCAAAAUAAUAGGCACAGAGUAUUCAGAUUUGCCGCCCCAGAGGCCAAGAUAUUACUCGUAUAGUGUAAAAUGGUCUUUGUUCCUGAAUAUCCACUUUCCAAUUUUGAAUUUUUGAAUAUUUUUCUGUAAAUCAAUUUGAGACAUAGUUCAUGCGUGUUUAGUAUAAAGUUCAGUAAACAUUUCACUUCCAAACAACUUUUUCUUGCGUUUCGUUGCGGAAUAUACGAAUGUUGCGGAAUUAAUUGUUAUUUAAAUAAUGAUGCUGACAAAGUCCAACGUAUCAUUUUACGCACUUCUGUAAUCACAUCAUUGGUGAGUAAACAAUGCUAGCAUGAGUAAACAAUCAUUGGUGAAAAACAAUGCUAUAACCUAACACAAGAAGAAACCAGAUAAAUGGUGGAAGAGGCAAACACUCAAAACUGAAGAAGUUUAAUUUACAAAUUGUAAAAAAAGAAGUUUAAUUUACAAAUCUUAUACUACUGAAAAACACAUAAUACAUGCGUAUCUUUGUUGACAAUUAUAUUUGUGUCUACAUAACUUCUAGAGAAUAAAGAUUAUUAUGGUUCACUUUGUAUGGUAAAUUAUCUCAAUUUAUUAGGAAAGAACUUUGAUAGUGAGAAUUUAUUUUAUAAAAUAUAGUUAAAUAUAUUUUUAAUUCAUAAAUUUAGAUACAAGAUUGAAAUUCAUCUUUAUUUCAUUUUGAUAUAGUUUGAUUCUUAAACUUUAUAAAUGAAAAGAUACCGUCUUUGUAACUUAACAUUGUGAAUUUUUUUUUGUUAGACUGCAUUUCAUAUUAACAUUAUUAGGUUAAAAGGAUUUUAUAUUUUAAAAACUAAGAUGUAUCAAAAUUUAGAAGAGUAAUAAAUUUAAAUUUUAUGUUCUAGCAUUAGCCACACUUUUGAAAUGCUUUACAAAGUUUAAAGUGUAUAGAUUGCAUAAACAUUAAAAGAAAAACACACAAGAAAGGUGAUUGUCUUUAAAGAAUCAAGACGAAGUUUAUAUGUGAAGAAUUUGUUGUAAUUCAAAUUUUAAAAUCCUAAAUACAAAUUGAGAAUUUUUUAAAAUUGAGAUCGUAGUUAAGUUUAAAUCAUAAGUAUUUUAGUAAAUUUAAAUUUUAGUGAACCACAUAUUACUUAUUAAAGUAAUUCAAUGUCAUAAAAUUUAAAAAUAAUUGACUACUGUGCAAAAAUCUCUAUUACAAAUUCAAUCCAAUAUUCAAAAUUAGAGUAAAUUACAUUAUAUCAACACUUAACCGAACUCGAUCAUAUAAAACUGAGUUCAGGAUAAAUCAUGACUAUACCAAGAGGAGGACACCGCGUGGAUAUGGAAUUCAUGCUCCACUAGAAGAUACUCAUUGAAAAAAUUAUAUGAGUCCAAUAGAAUAGUAGAUGGCUGGUAUAAUUGCAACAAAGGACAAAUAAAAAAUGAUUGGAAAAUAUCAUUGUUGACACUAGUUCUGAGAAUACUAACAAAUAUAUAAGGAAAGAAAAAACAAAACUUCAACCAAAAGAAAAAUCCUCUUUAUAUUUUAUGGAGGGCAUUGUGUCGUAAUGUUUGAUUUCUAGAAACUAUAAGAAUAAGAACAUGAAUCUAAAUCUGAAAACUCCAAGCAGAUACAUGAAUCUAAAUCAAGAACCUCGUCAAUCUUCUUCUCUAUGGCCUUCAGCUCUUGUUCACUGGCUAAUUUGUUCUCAAACAUGUAUUUCUUCAACGCAGAGAUGGGAUCCCUAUCAGCAUAGUGUGCCUUCUCAGCUGACAAAGCACGUACAGAUGGUGGUAACAAUUACCAUGAACUUGGCAGACACAACACUAAUAGAAGAAAGAAAACUACGGAAAGAUGUGACUCAUUUUCAUCAUGGCAUGAAUAUCCUGACUUGUUGAAAUUAGUAAUGUUGUAAAAUAUUAUUAUUUUAUUGCAAUAGUUUUGGAACGUUGGCUUUAAGAAUUUUGCAACGUUCAUAAUGCAACGUUCAUAAUGCAACGGUCAUAAUGCAACGGUCAUAAUGCAACUGUAGCAACGUUUAGAAUCUUGCAACGGUCUUUUUUUUUCAUGUUUAUAAAUAUAUCAUCCAUUUCAUUCCAAGUGUACUGCAAAAAACACAUUUUCAAUCUCUAUUUUCUCUCUUUGAUUUCCUUUGUUCUGUCUUAUUCUCUAAUUCUCGCAAGCCUGGAAAUAGGGGAGCUUUCUUCUCCUUCUUCGUUUGUUUUUCCCUCUCGUUCGUGCAAGGAAGAUGGUCUGGUGGUGGCGAGAAUCGACGGCGCUACGAAGGCGCGACUCAAGCUUGUUCUCGCCUUCGAUGGCGGUUCGCAGUGGACUUCCAGGGUCCUUCAUUGUGCGGAUGGACCUUCUCCUUUUCCCUUUCUUGUUCUGGCUCGCGAUGUAAGACAAGAGGGCGUUCUCGUGGUGGUCGAGAUCGCGGAAGCUCCCUCUUUUUGAAGCAACCAACGACGGUAAUCUGUUAUUGCAUUGGGGUUUCUGAUCUUUCUUCUGACUUGGGAAUUCUCUUUUAGGAGCUCUGUUCUUGCUUUCUCAAAUUGUGUUUUGGGGUCAAAGUUCUGCUUUGGAAAAAUCUUGUGAUCUUGAUUCCGUAAUGUUUCAGUUGGGGUUGAUGAUCGAGAAUUUGGGGGUUAUGGCUUUCAGAUUCUGUUUUGGAAUUGGGGUCCCUGUUUUGAGUUUAUGACCUCAGGGUUUGAGUGUAGGGUGUUUGAGUUAAAUUUCUGGGUUUUCUUUUCUUCGCAAUUACGGACUGUUGGUGAUGGUUGUGCGAAAUAGGGCAGGUCUGGAGGACUCAUAAUCAUAAUCUAUUGUUUUAAUUAAUGGUGUGAGAAAGAUGGGGACUACGCCUGAGGCCAACGCGAGUAAUGUAGUGGACGAAGAAACACUCGGCGACUACAUGCUCUCUAACGUGGCUUCCAACUCCGACCUCGCUGACCAGGGUCAGUCAGCAGCAGCGCUCCUCCGCAUUCCAACUCCCUCGAAGGCGGCCACAGUGCCCUCGAGGCUCAUAGUCUGCCUCCCGCGAAUUGUAAGGAAUGAUUGUUUUUUUUUUCUUCUAUAUCUUAAAUUAUGGGAGUAAUGCAUAUACAUAUAUAUUACAGAUAUGAGCACAACUUUUUCGCUGGAAUCCUGUCAUCCAAUUGCAAAUUGUUAAUAUUUGAUGAGUUUGUCCACUUUCACAUUUGUUAAUUUAAUACUCAUUCAUACCAUAACUUUUCUGUUUGUAUAAUAAUGUGUACAUAUAGUUUUUGCAAUGAGUGCGCAGAAAUUGAACUUGAAAUUAUGUUAUGAAAAGUUAAGAGAAAAAAAAAAAAAAAAAACUUGUGCCACAGGGCCUGAACCUUGAUCCAUCAUUGCUAAGGUUUAUUCGACUCUUCACCCCGCUGGGUGUGGAGGAGGGGAGGGAUUGCAGUUGUAUGUUGGGUACAGUCUCUUGAGUGAUUGAAGAAUGGAGUUUGAGCAAUUGGGGAGAAUAGUGAGAUCUUGAGUGGUCUUUGUGGCUUCAGGAGGAGUGUGAUUCUCGCGGUUCUGUGAUUUUGAACAAGUAUAAGGAGUAUAGGAAGUUGGCUAAGUUGUCCUCUGAGAUAAUGCUCACGAGAGGUAGAGAUAUAUUUGGAGGAGAUUCUCUCCCUUAUGCAGCUUGGUGAUUACACUGAAUUCAUGAUUUCAAAGAUCAAAGGGCACUUCUGUUGAUCCUGAGUUGCUUCCCCGUGCAGAGCUUUAGGAGUGGCAAUAUCAGCAAGUUGUGACCCUGAGUUGCUUCUGUUAACUGGAUUUUAUGUGAUUUUGGAGGGAUUUACACGUCAGGAAAGCAAUAAGGAUUGAUGAACACGUGCCUUUACUUCUUUACCACUUACUUCUAUGGUGUAUGAUGUAUUUUAUGUAUUGCACAGUUGCCUGCGGAGGGCAAUAUCCACUUCCAAUAUCAGUUCUGUUGUUGCCGUUUUGAGUGGUGCCAGCAUUUUACUCGGUAAUGAAUAUAAUGAAAUAUAAUAUGGACAGCAAAAAAUAAGAGAGCCUUGGUGCAAAGUUGUUAUUUGGUGGCGUUGGUGUGCAAAAGACAGAAAUUGCAACAUAUGGAUGUUCUGAAGCUAAAACAUGAAAUUGAAGACCAGUGUGCUGAGGUGAGUAUAGUUGGCACAUCAUUAUGAGGUAAUUUUAGGUUCCUAGGUUAUGAAGACCAGUGUUUGUGCAGUUUGUGUCAUUUAAUUUGUACAGGAUUUAGUUUUGAAUUUCUCUAACAUGAUUUAGAGUUUUAUAGACUGUAUAGGAUAAAACCAAUUUCAAGAUUGACAUUUUUUGCAACUUCAAAACCUCAAAACCACACAGAUUGAGGAUGCUUCUGUCCUUAGUUUAUAAUGUAUAUGUAGGUCAUUUUCUUUAUUUUUAUGUAUACACAAGUUUAUGCUACUACGGGAGAAUAAAGAUUAUUACGGUUCACUUUGUAUGAUAAAUAUUAGGA